AGACUGUUCUCAUUCGGACUGCAGUCUGCAACUCGACUGCACGAAGCUGGAAUCGCUAGUAAUCGCGGAUCAGCACGCCGCGGUGAAUACGUUCCCGGGCCUUGUACACACCGCCCGUCACACCAUGGAAGUCUGCAAUGCCCGAAGCCGGUGGCCUAACCACUUAUGUGGAAGGAGCCGUCUAAGGCAGGGCAGAUGACUGGGGUGAAGUCGUAACAAGGUAUC
rnacentral:rRNA from 1 species